GGACGGGGAGGCAGGGUGACAGGGAGAGCAGGUCAGCUGUGGACCUCGGAGCUGGCUGGCUGGGUGUUAGCACAGAGCCUGCUGCCUGUGCGAGUGUGAGGGGGAGAGAGAGCAGGGGAGGGAGAGAGAGGCAGGCUGCGAGGGGAGAGGAGAGGAGAGGAGAGGGGGAGCAGGCGCUCAGCUCGCAUGAGGACGGGCUUCUCUUUUCCGGGCUCAGUUAAUCUGGCUGUCAGUUGGUGUUAACGCUGCAGUUUAAGUGCUCCGACUCCAAGGGAAACAGACAAAUCUCGCAGAAGGAAGCAAGCAAGGAAGGAACUGCAGGAGGAAAAGAACAGGCAGAACAGAGAGAGGAAUAAAGGGAACGGGGGAAAUACCAAAUCUAUGACUGGACCUGGGCUUCUUUUUCGCCAAUGCAAAAAGGAAUAUGCAGCACAUUUUUGCCUUCUUCUGCACCGGUUUCCUAGGCGCGGUAGUAGGUGCCAAUUUCCCCAACAAUAUACAGAUCGGGGGAUUAUUUCCAAACCAGCAAUCACAGGAACAUGCCGCUUUUAGAUUUGCUUUGUCGCAACUCACAGAGCCCCCAAAGCUGCUCCCCCAGAUUGAUAUUGUGAACAUCAGUGACAGUUUCGAGAUGACCUAUAGAUGAUGGCCCUUGAGCAUAAAAACAGAAUGGAGGAGAAUCUCAAGAAGAUUCUGACAUCUGAAUUGAACGCAUUGUAAAAUGUAGGCAAAAAACACCAUUCUCAGUUUUUCUGACAACUGCAACUGAAAAGGAAACCUACACGGUUGCAUGAUUGCUGUUUUAUGACAGAUGGAAGCAUACAAAUUAAUCAGCAGAGACAUUUUCCCUCCGGGGAUUAAGCUCAAGUAGGAAUUUAUGGCAUGAAAGUGUGAACUGAAUGGGCAAGAACAACCUGAGACCCAAAACUGGAUUAAACUGGCACCAUAGGCUGUGGGUAACACUAAGGAUUUGGUGACUUCUGCAGAGCUAUGGAUAGGUGAAGGCUUUGGCCGUAUUCCCUCUUUCCCACCUGCCCUCAUGGUGGGCUCUCAAUGGUUUGAACUGAACAUGCUUUGAAGGCUCACGUUGAAAAUUCAGAAUUCUCCCUAAGACCACUCAUAGGAUAAUUAUAUGAAUUCCAAGAAUUAUAAUGACACCAUAUUCUCUUUACUGAGACUUCGCUGUGUGCCAAGAACAACGAUGAGUAUCUUACAGCAGCUGUGGUGACCUUCAUCACCAUGUAUUGAGCAUGCCCAUGUACUGCACCAAUUGCUUCUCGUGCAUUGGCUCAUUGGAUCCUCACAGGCACCUUGCAGGGCACAGUGCUAUCUCCCUGUUACAGAUGAGGAAACUGAGGCUGUAACAAGUUAUCUAUCUUGCCCAGGAUCACCCAAGAAGUAAAUGGUGGUCUUGUGACCCCUAAGUCCAUGUUCCUAGAACUGUGACAAAUGCACUGAUCCUUAUGAUAACCUGAUCAAUUUUAUACUGAGAUUACCUAAGAGCAAAAGGGAGUUUUCAGAGCCUUAUAAGGCAGUGACCUGACAAAGCACCUAAAGGAAAACUUCAUAGUGCUUCAAAGCACAGCUGUGAUUUUGUACAGGCGUGACCCACUGAAUAAAUAAAAUAACAGUUCUGCAUUUUGGUAAUGGUGAGGUUGAAA